GUAACAAGGUUUCCGUAGGUGAACCUGCGGAAGGAUCAUUACUGAGAAUGCUCUCCGGAGCCCUCAAACCUUGCGUACCCAUCUUGUACUUGCGGGUGGCCCUCUGGGGCGCCCGCGAGGAUUCAAACUGUUUGACUAUCGUCAGAUUCUUACAAAAGAAAACAACUUUCAACAAUGGAUCUCUUGGCUCCGGCAUCGAUGAAGAACG
rnacentral:misc_RNA from 1 species